rnacentral:lncRNA from 1 species
AUUCCCUUCAGCUUCAGGAGUGAGUUGAUUAUUCACAUGUUCUUUUUAGGGGGUUUAAGCUGCUAGUCCUUAAAGAAUAGAUGCUGAAGGUUGUCAUUGAUUCCUCUUUCCUUCCUCCCACGUCUGCUCUGGGCCUUCUCAUUGAUGUAGUAUCUUAGGUUACUUCCAAAAUAAUUUGAGAAAUGGAUUUAUAGAAGAAGCUAGCUUUCCAGUAGAAAAGUUUAGAUGACAAGAUUAAUGUGAUAAGAACUAAGAAAGCCCUUCCUAGUUUUCAUUGAAAAUGUGUUUUUAAUGCCCAGAGGUGCCCAGUCAAAAAGGAAAUAUUACAGAAGGAUUAUUUUCAUCAGCAGAGUUCUUGGGCAUUGCAAGUUCCAGUGUAAUUAGGGAAAUCACAUGCGAGUACAUCAAUACACUUCAGAUGCCAAUACAUUGGGCUUAAUGAGGACAACAAGCCUGCUUUUAUUAGGGGAUUGAAUAAAAGUGAAAGGAGUUCUUGAAAAGAAUUGGUAAUUUUGGAUGGGAUAAUUCAUCACUUCACUCCAGAUCAGUUUUUCACAGUAAGAAGUGCUGGCUCUUCAGAAAAUUUGGCAUAACCAAAGUUUAUUGUCACUAUCUCCUCCUUCUCACAUUGUCCUUUGUCGCACCCCCAGCAGGUCCACAGUGAUCCUGCGGGCCACCCCCAUGGACCCUGCCCGUUUUCUUCCAUCGGGGGCUAUCUUACGUCAGUCUUUCAAGGUCUCCUCAGUAAUGCAGGCCAGUUGGAUUUUUGCUUUCUUUUCCCAGAGGACAAUUCAGCCUCAGCGUCUUAGUCUAAAAGGAUUCAUGCAAGCGUGUCAGAUGUUUUAUUAGGCUAAGGGGGAGGUAUUUUGGGUUGUGGGGAGCACUUACUGCAACCCUGUAUGAAAUUCCCUACUCAGUGAUGUUCAGGCUGCACGGGCCAACAUGGAAAGGGCUUAAGGGAGAUGACAAAAACAAAAUCUCUUCUUCCACAAAGAUUUUCAGUUGAUCAAUUUUGUUACUUUUUUGUGAUGAAACUAUCUGCACUGCAGCUAAUGAUUUUUUUCUGAAGGUGGAAAAGGUAGGAGCAACAGCUUUCAGUUCUAAGGAUACAUUCUGUUGACCUUCAUAAGCCCUAGGAACUAGAGGGGCAAGAUUGAGGAGGAAAUAGAGAAAAUAAUUUGCUCUAUAGUAUUUUCCCCCUGAGCUGCCAUCUGGGGCUUUCAGAGCUUAGCACUGCACUCUUGCAAUGUUGCACACACCACAGGAGCAAUAUCAAGAGAUGUCAAACAUGAGUGGUAUUGGUCACUGGAAACAGCAGAUUCCAAAUAGCUGUCUCACCAGACUAUUCUUUCAGAAGAUUCAUUUGUGCCAACUACUUCUUUGUCAUGGAUCCUUCCUGGUUCUGCAACACAGAUGUGGAAAGUGAAGAGAACACGUCAUGGAAUUCCAUUUCUAAGAGUGGAAAAUAUACAAUUUACCAUGGGAUGUUUAAGAUAUUAAUAUAUUGUUCACCAUGUGUAUCCAGAGCUUUAGUAGAAGUAGGUUAAAAGAGCCGUGCAUGUAUACACGGUGCUCCUCAUUGUCAAACGCUGAAGCCUGUUACAGGCUGGGUUUGGGGGCUGGGGGUACUUACGGGACAAAGUCUGACUCUCGGUCUGUAGGCUGAGUGCCUUCUUAGUGUGUUGGGACUCAGCAUGUAUUCACCCCAUCUGUACUCACAAGCCUAAUUCAUUAAUCAGGAUGACUUACUGGGCUGUGAGCCCUUUGAGGACAGGACCUUGUACCUUUAUCUUGUGCCUCUCAUGCCUAGCAUAGCACCAGGCAUGUAACACGUUCUUUUUAAAAAAGUGUUUUACAGCUUUAUCAAGGCAUACAUGAUGUCAGAUCAACUGCAUGUGUUUAAAGUUUUACACUUGAUGAGUUUUGAUAUAUGUCUAUACCCGUGAAACCAUCACUGCAAUCAAGAUAAUAAACGCAUUCAUCCACCCUAAAGUUUCUCGUGUCCCUUUGCAAGCCACCCCCCUUCCUCCCAUUGUUCCCAGACAACCACUAUUCUGCUUUCUGUCACUGCAGAUGAGUUUGUGUUUUCUGGAAUUUUAUAUAAGUGGAAUCAUACAACAUGUACUCUGUUUUUCUGGCUGUUUUCACUCAGCAUAAUUUUCUCAAGAUUCAUUGAAGUUUUAUAUAUUAAUAGUUUGCUACAUUUCAUUGCUGAAUAGUAUUCCAUUGUAUAAAUCAUAAUAGGCACCUAACAAGUGUUUGUGGCUUUACACUGACUUGAAAAUUAAUUUUUAAGAAUAUAAUUGGGCAAAAAGUGGACAAUGGGAUACCACUCUAUUCUUGGUGAGUGGGUUCACUCAGGAAGUGGAAAUAAGAAUCAGGAGAUAAUUUGGCAUGGUAGAGACUUUUGUUGUCAUCCAAUAUCUAUUUUUCCUUCUUUCUUAGUACUGGAAUACCUGAGUUUUGGCUGGGCACAGAACUGUCUGGAAUACAGACUGCAAUUCCCAGCCUUCUGUGCAGUUCUGUGUGGCCAUGUGACUAAGUUGUGGUCAAUAUGAGUCACGGAAGAAUAGAAGAACAACUCAGAGGAGGAAGAAGUCAGACAUAGCCAGACACGGCUGCUAGCAGUUCCACCAAUGAAAGAGGAGACCAGGAUGUUUAAAACAGGCAAACACAAGGUGCGAAAAACCAGAAGCGAAAACUUCUGAGGUCAUUUAAGCAAGGACUAUCGUUAUCCCCGGAAGCAGAGAGAAGUUCCCUUUGCCCAACAUCACACUGCAAGCACGUGUUGGAGCUGAGAUUCAAACCCAGGCAUCCAGGGUCCAGGGCCCAUGCUUUUAAUAUAUUCCAUAUCUUAGGAGAAUUUCCCCUAUUUAAACAAUAAAAGUGCAAAAAUCUUGUGGCUAGCCAAAA